CAGUGGGGAAUAUUGGGCAAUGGAGGAAACUCUGACCCAGCGACGCCGCGUGCGGGAUGAAGGCCUUCGGGUUGUAAACCGCUUUCAGCAGGGAAGAAGCGAAAGUGACGGUACCUGCAGAAGAAGCACCGGCUAACUAUGUGCCAGCAGCCGCGGUAAUACAUAGGGUGCAAGCGUUGUCCGGAAUUAUUGGGCGUAAAGAGCUCGUAGGUGGUUCGUCACGUCGGAUGUGAAACUCUGGGGCUUAACCCCAGACCUGCAUUCGAUACGGGCGAGCUUGAGUAUGGUAGGGGAGUCUGGAAUUCCUGGUGUAGCGGUGGAAUGCGCAGAUAUCAGGAGGAACACCAAUGGCGAAGGCAGGACUCUGGGCCAUUACUGACACUGAGGAGCGAAAGCGUGGGGAGCGAACAGGAUUAGAUACC
rnacentral:rRNA from 1 species